UACGGGGGGGGCAAGCGUUGUUCGGAAUUACUGGGCGUAAAGGGUGCGUAGGCGGUGCUCUAAGUCGGAUGUGAAAACUCUGGGCUCAACCCAGAGCCUGCAUCCGAAACUGGAGUGCUAGAGUUCUGGAGGGGGUAGCGGAAUUCCUGGUGUAGCGGUGAAAUGCGUAGAUAUCAGGAGGAACACCGGUGGCGAAGGCGGCUACCUGGACAGAAACUGACGCUGAGGCACGAAAGCGUGGGGAGCGAACAGG
rnacentral:rRNA from 1 species